CGCCGAGGAUGCGGCUCAGCAGCGGCCUCGCCCCCCGAGCGGCGGCCAGCCUCCGCCCGCUGCGCGUCCCUCGGAGCCUUCUGGAACAGCGUUAACCUCUGCGAGCCCGGCGCGGAGCACGGGAGCGGUCACGGAGCCGGGAACGGCAAUGGGGGCACACGGGAGGGGGCUCCGAGGGGCUGUCCCGCUGCCAGGACCCGGCUAAUCCCGCUGUCAGGACCCGUGUCCUUCACCCUGCCAGGACCCGUGUCCUUCACCCUGCCAGGACCCGUGUCCCCCCCGCUGCCGGGAUGCUCCCGGUGACGCACGCGGUGUCCCCAAGGGGAUGGGAAGGGUCCUGUCCCCCCCCAUUGUGUCCUUGUCCCCUCGCUCCGAGGCCGCUCGCCCGGGCUCAGUUUCAGGCCGCGGUUUCUGUUUUUGAUGAGCGAUGUUCAGGGAGCGGAAUAAAGAGGAAUGAAUGACA